CGAUAAUAUGUGGAUAGUGGCUAGAAAAAUAAGACAAAAGAGUGGGAAUCCUAAUUUUAGGUGAUUUCUUGCACACUUUUUAAACUCUUUUUCACCACUUUUAUUGUAUUUGUUCAUUGAUUUUCAAAUCUAAAGUAAGGAGAAAAAUGAAUAUAGAGGAAAAAACUAGUGUGAAAUAUUUUUUUAUUAAGAAAUAAUUUUUUUGAGGUCAUUACUAAGAAAUCAAUGUUGAAUAAGAAUUAAGAAAAUGAAAAGGGGUAAAAGGUAAAAUAAGAAAAACAAAAGUAGACAAAAGUGAAAAGGGGAGAAAAGAAGCAUACUCGUUCGGAACUGUUUUUAAAUAAUUAAAAUCAUAUUUAGAGAAAUUAUUUUUAAAAACAAAUCUUUAGUUAAAAUACAAGUUAAUUUUGGAAAGGAUUCCUUUUGGAAAAUAACUUGAUGGGUUUUUUUGGCAAAAAGUACAUAAUAAAUGUUUCUUCAAGAAUGCACUUUAAGUAUAUUUAGGACUCAAAAAUAUUUUAUCUACAAAUGUUUUCAGCAAUUUAAAAACACUUUUCAAACUAAUUAGUAUAUUAGCAGGCUUGGUGAGAGUUGGAAGCCGAGCCAAUAAGUGGAACUAGAAAAUAAAUUAAAGAAAGAAAGAAGGCAACGUAAAGGGCGGAAGAUGACGGAAGCUAAUUAACGGCAAAAAUUGUCUGUUAGCCUGCAAAACGUGAAGGCAGGUUUGUUUCUGUGGCCCGUCGUGCCCUCACU
rnacentral:lncRNA from 1 species